AUUGAACGCUGGCGGCAUGCCUUACACAUGCAAGUCGAACGGUAACAGGUCUUCGGAUGCUGACGAGUGGCGAACGGGUGAGUAAUACAUCGGAACGUGCCCGAUCGUGGGGGAUAACGAGGCGAAAGCUUUGCUAAUACCGCAUACGAUCUACGGAUGAAAGCGGGGGAUCUUCGGACCUCGCGCGGACGGAGCGGCCGAUGGCAGAUUAGGUAGUUGGUGGGAUAAAAGCUUACCAAGCCGACGAUCUGUAGCUGGUCUGAGAGGAUGAUCAGCCACACUGGGACUGGAAAACGGCCCAGACCCCAACGGGAGGCAGCGGGGGGAAAUUUUGGACAAUGGGCGAAAGCCUGACCCAGCCAUGCCGGGGGCAGGAUGAAGGCCUUCGGGUUGAAAACUGCUUUUGUACGGAACAAAAAGCCUCUUUCUAAAAAAGAGAGGUCAUGACGGAACCGUAAAAAUAAGCACCGGCUAACUACGU
rnacentral:rRNA from 1 species